UAUCUUUAGAAGUCACUUGAGGUAGAGCUGAGGCUGGUGGAAAAGAAAUUCCCUAGAAUGGGAAGAGAGUGAGGCAGUUUUGAGGUCUAGUCUGUGUAAGAGAGAAUUAACCAUCCAGUAUUAAUCAAUAGAUACCCUCAGAGGUAUCUCUCUUUUACAAGUCCUGUGGGAAAUCACCAUCAUAUGGGAAGAAUUGAGUAAGAGGGUGAUAGAAGAGAGGAAAAAAGACUGAAAUUACAAAAGAUAUAAGGAGAAAGAAAACUCCCUUAAAAACUUCAAACACAACCAGAGGUCAGUCAAAGUAGAGAGAAUUAUAGCAGCAUAGUAUAUGGCACCUUCAUACCACCAUCCAACACAGUGGAAGAAAGCUUCACUUAUGAAGAUAGAAUUAUCUGGCUUAACUAAUUUCAAAUGGAAGCAGGAAUAAUCAAGGGUAAGUAGAAAAAAAUUAAUGGUAAUGGUAAUUAUUACUGAAUAAUUUUACUUAAAAUUUAUAAAUGU
rnacentral:lncRNA from 1 species